AUUAUUGGGCGUAAGGGCUCGCAGGCGGUUUCUUAAGUCUGAUGUGAAAGCCCCCGGCUCAACCGGGGAGGGUCAUUGGAAACUGGGGAACUUGAGUGCAGAAGAGGAGAGUGGAAUUCCACGUGUAGCGGUGAAAUGCGUAGAGAUGUGGAGGAACACCAGUGGCGAAGGCGACUCUCUGGUCUGUAACUGACGCUGAGGAGCGAAAGCGUGGGGAGCGAACAGGAUUAGAUACCCUGGUAGUCCACGCCGUAAACGAUGAGUGCUAAGUGUUAGGGGGUUUCCGCCCCUUAGUGCUGCAGCUAACGCAUUAAGCACUCCGCCUGGGGAGUACGGUCGCAAGACUGAAACUCAAAGGAAUUGACGG
rnacentral:rRNA from 1 species